AUUUUUAUAGUGUAUAGCAUAAGAAAUUUUCAAUUUCUUGGAAUAAUUAGAUAUAUAAUUAUUAAAAAUA
rnacentral:tRNA from 1 species